rnacentral:lncRNA from 1 species
CUCGAGUAGAAGAUUGUCUAUUUGCUAGACAAUUAUCAGCUCUCUUUGACGACCUCAGGUGAGUAUUAUACAUUUGUGAUUUAUAUUGUAUGUUGUUUCAAAAUCUCAGCACAUGAUCAUUAACUAGUUGAAAUGUCAAUAUGUCAAUUUGAAAUCUAAACUGAUUUAACACAGUUUCGCAUACUCAAAACAACUAUAUUUUCGAUUUCAUCCUGGACCGAGAUUCGAUAUGUUAAUUGAAUAUAAUUUGUUAAUUAUUGUUUUUAAUGAGUUGGGCUAUUUUAAUGAAGUUAUUCAUUUUAAGGUUCUUAUUUGUGUAGGAGCGCGGUCUAAUUGAUCGAAAAUCAUUUUUGCCCCAGAUAUCAUCACCUCUGCCAAUGAGAUCUCCUUCUUUAUCAUUUAGACACCUCCCCCAUGGAUCUCCUGCACACAGUCAGGGUUGUUAUUUCGAUAAUCUAUAUGUACGUCUAACUGAUUUUAUUAGAGAGGAGAUGUGCACGCAGCACGCUACAAAGUGAGUUGGAGAGGAAGUAGGGGCUCUUUGACAAUAGUAAGAGGCGAGGUAGAAGAUUUAUGCCAUGAUGUUGGAGUGCUACGAGGCCAUUUAGUAGACAUUCAAGAAGAGAUUGCUGCGCCAUAAGACGAUAUAGUAGGCAGACGAGAGGGAGACAGAUUGCAUGAUAGAGAAGGUGACAGAGAGUGUAAUAUAGAGGAUGGUAGAGAAAGGGGUCACACUUAGGAUCAUUUUAUUAUCCGUGACACGGGAUAGGGUCUCCUUGAUGGUGACGUAAGAGGUGGCAGAGGAUGAGAGAAUAGAGGGUUGGCCCUGAUGGCAGAUAAAGAGAGGAUGAUUGUCAUGACAAAGGAUUAAAAGCAUGCUAUUGAUGUGCCAGAGUAGGUGGCCUACAAGAGGUCAAGAUUACAGUCAUAGUACGCCACUUCUCCCUUUAUGGCUGAGGCGAAGAGGAGGACGUUCAUAGACGGGACAUUCCCCAAUCUUUUUUUAGAGGUAAACCCUGCCAAGUGGAAAGCUUUUGAAAUAGAGUGGAGAAGAAUUAUGCCUAGGUAAGUAUUUUAUAAUUUUAGUAAACUAUGCUAAUUCAUCUAUACUUCUUUUAACAUUUUUUCCUUUUCAUUUUCAAAGUUAACUACACGAUAGCUCAAAAGACGAUACCGGAUGCUUAUAAGUGAUUUUAGGAUAUCACGACUUCGACAGCUUAGCUCGUCAAGAUGUAAGUGUAAUAUCACAAUUGUUUUUUAUUAUGUAUAUAUAAUUUGUUGUUUAUUAAAUUAAAUAACUCUCUCUUUUUUAUUGGUGUUUCAUGUUGUAGCACAUCAACCUGACUUUGGACCUAUUGUGCAAUCAGGCUCGAAGAUAUCUAAGAUCAUUUGACGUUCCAGGCCGAGUCAUUUUGAGCAUCGAGUCCCUACAUGCCAUUAACAUUGUGCAUCAAUCGCUUCAACUUAUGGGGAAUGAGUACAGGUUGCCUAAAUAUAUGCUCGGGUGGAUCACAAGGAUGAGAUCGAGUAUCGGGAAAAAAUCAUGGGGCAAGUCGAAUGCAUAUGUACAUUCUAGUGAUCACUAAUUAUCACUGCUUUGCUGUGGAGAUUGUCUUUCUUGAUUCCACUAUAUACGUGUACGACUCUGAUCAUACCUGUUGGACACAGGGUCAGGUCGAGCAUAUAUUAGAGCCAGUGCCUAUAAUCGUUCAUUUGAUAGACAAUUACCACAUAAUAAGCAAGCAAGGCCAAAUGUUUUAAUGUAGGGAGUUCGUCUUCACCAGACCCAAACUUCUCCUCUCGCUUUUGAUUGGGUUAAAAGUGUUUGUGGCGUCAAUUCCUUUUGGUGUACAUCUUACCCAAAAUACCAAGAAACAUAAGUUGUCAGCUCAUAUCUAUCUAUCUCCGCUCCUCAAUCAAACAAAAGUAACCGUUUGAUCCUAUAUAGCCUGGACCUACAUACUCAUCGUGGUCGUCCUACAGCCUCCCACACCCAUAUUCCUAACCUCUCCUCCUAUUUUAUUUGCUUACCAUGCGGUCUCUGUGUCGAUUGAGCCCAGUAUAGUAUUAGUUUUUUAGAUCUUAGAAAUGAAAUCAUAUCUGCCCGGAAGUGAUUUGUGUGACAAACUAGUUAUCGUGUGGGACAUGACGAUGAUGAGACGAUAGAAAUCGUAAGUAUUUAUAAAUUUUUUAAUUUGAAAACUUAGUUUUUAGUUAUUGAACUAACACGUUGUUUUUAAUUGAAUUGGCGAUUGCUGUUGUUCGUAAUUAGGUAUAUUGAACUUUUGAGUAUAAUACAUAAGGAUGAUAGAAUCAACCAAUCCUGAAAUUAGAGGAAGAACUUAGCAUGCAAUUUGUAUGAAAUCAAUAAUGGUACGUAAAUAUUAUAUAUUGUUCCAUUCGAAAAUGUAAAUAUUGAUUAUUUAAUUUAAA